AUGGAGCAUAUUAUUGCGGGCAAGUUUAAGCUUGGGAGGAAGAUUGGGAGUGGCUCCUUUGGGGAGCUAUACCUUGGUAUUAAUGUACAGAACGGAGAGGAAGUGGGAAUAAAGUUGGAGCCCGUGAAGUCGAAGCAUCCACAGCUGCACUAUGAAUCCAAAGUUUACAUGCUGAUGCAGGGUGGAAGCGGCAUCCCACAUCUGAAGUGGUAUGGUGUCGAGGGAGAGUACAAUGUUAUGGUGAUUGAUCUUCUUGGCCCAAGCCUGGAGGACUUAUUUAACUCCUGCAACAGGAAAUUUACUAUGAAAACAACCCUUAUGCUUGCUGAUCAACUAAUAACACGGGUGGAAUACAUGCAUUCCAAAGGAUUUCUUCACCGUGACAUCAAGCCAGACAACUUCCUUAUGGGCUUAGGCCGGAAAGCUAAUCAGGUCUAUAUAAUUGACUAUGGGCUUGCUAAGAAAUACAAGGACCUCCAGACUCAUAAACACAUCCCCUACAGGGAGAAUAAAAAUCUGACAGGAACAGCACGCUAUGCUAGUGUAAAUACUCAUCUUGGAAUAGAACAAAGCAGGAGAGAUGAUCUAGAGUCUGUUGGUUAUCUUCUACUGUAUUUUUUGAGGGGAAGUCUCCCAUGGCAGGGUCUUAAAGCUGGCACUAAGAAACAAAAGUAUGAUAGAAUUAGUGAAAAGAAAAUGCUUACCCCGGCAGAGGUUCUGUGCAAAUCUUAUCCAUCGGAGUUCAUCUCAUAUUUCCACUAUUGUCGUUCCCUGAGAUUCGAAGACAGGCCAGAUUACUCUUACUUGAAGAAACUGUUUCGGGAUGUAUUUGUUCGUGAAGGAUAUCAAUUUGAUUAUGUAUUUGACUGGACCGCACUCAAGUAUCCUCAUAUGAGUUCCAGUAAACAGCUUGUUCGACAACCGAGUGGAAGAUUGGCUGGAGUUGGGCCAUCUGUUGAGAGAACAGAAAGACCUUCAGUAGGACAAGAGAUCCGGGAUAGAUUCACCGGUGCUGUGGAGGCAUUUGCCAGGAGAAACUCGAGCUCCGGUCGCCACGGAGACCAUUCGAGGCACAAAAGCAUUGCGGAUUCAUUCAGUUCAUCUAGAGAAGCUCUUGCUGCUGAUACGGAGAAAACACACAUCUUGUCCCGGACUGGGAGCUCAUCGAAGAUGGCUGCCAUGCCAUCCAGCCGGCCAACCUCUUCAGGGGACUGCACCGGUCGGUUGUUCUCGGGAAGUGGCGGCAGCAGCAGCCGCCCAUCAUCGUCGACCGUCCAAAGGCUCCACCAAUCCGGAGGCAGCGGUGCGGAGAACGGCUCGUCUCCACCCAUCGCUCGGAACGCGCCAGGGAGAUCAAGCCGACGGGACAGCCACGCGGCACUCCGGAGCUUCGGGCGCCUGUCGAUCAGCGCUGACAGAAGGAAGUGA
rnacentral:rRNA from 1 species